rnacentral:rRNA from 1 species
CUGGCUCAGGACGAACGCUGGCGGCGUGCCUAAUACAUGCAAGUCGAACGGCUUUUCUAUGGAAGCUUGCUUCCACUGAGAAGAUAGUGGCGAACGGGUGAGUAACACGUGGGUAACCUGCCCAUAAGAGGGGGGAUAACAUCCGGAAACGGGUGCUAAUACCGCAUAGUUUUCUUGAUCGCAUGAUCGGGAAAGGAAAGACGGCCUUUGUGCUGUCGCUUAUGGAUGGACCCGCGGCGUAUUAGUUAGUUGGUGAGGUAACGGCUCACCAAGACGAUGAUACGUAGCCGACCUGAGAGGGUGAUCGGCCACAUUGGGACUGAGACACGGCCCAAACUCCUACGGGAGGCAGCAGUAGGGAAUCUUCCGCAAUGGACGAAAGUCUGACGGAGCAACGCCGCGUGAGUGAAGAAAGGUUUUCGGAUCGUAAAACUCUGUUGUCAGAGAAGAACAAGUUGGAGAGUAACUGCUCCAGCCUUGACGGUAUCUGACCAGAAAGCCACGGCUAACUACGUGCCAGCCGCAGC